UUUAUCCUACGGGGGGCAGCAGUAGGGAAUCUUCCACAAUGGGCGAAAGCCUGAUGGAGCAACGCCGCGUGGGUGAAGAAGGUCUUCGGAUCGUAAAACCCCGUUGUUAGAGAAGAAAGUGCGUGAGAGUAACUGUUCACGUUUCGACGGUAUCUAACCAGAAAGCCACGGCUAACUACGUGCCAGCAGCCGCGGUAAUACGUAGGUGGCAAGCGUUAUCCGGAUUUAUUGGGCGUAAAGGGAACGCAGGCGGUCUUUUAAGUAUUAUGGUAAAGCCUUCGGCUUACCCGGACUAGUGCAUUGUA
rnacentral:rRNA from 1 species